rnacentral:lncRNA from 1 species
UAGAUACGAUCAUGUGAAAUUUGUCUUGUUUUGAUUGCGGAGUUCAGAAUUUUCGCUCCCGUAGGACUGGAUUUACGAGAGUUCAGGAUGAAUGCGCGCUCGCUUUCACGUGAAGAGGAAUUUGAACUAUUCUUCAGCCUGCCCGACGAAUCUGAAGCAAGUGAGGACGAGGCAGAAAGCAGCAAAGAUGAGUUCGUGCCGGAGCUCGCGCCACCAGACUCGAAUCUCUGCGAAGACGAAGAUAAACCUGGGCCAUCGAAGGGGAAACGAAAAAGACGCCGACAAAGACCUU